AAUGGGGGUCAUUAUGUUAAAAUGAGUUCAUUAGGGUGGUCCUUCACCCAAUCUGACUUGUGUCCAUAUAGGAAGAAGAAAUUACAACAAAGAUAUGCACAGAAGGAAGACCAUGUGAAGACAGCCAUCUACAAGCCAAGGAGAAAGGCCUUAGAGAACCAACCCUGCUGACAGCUUGACCUUGGACUUCCAGCUUCCAGACCUGUGUCUCGACAGAGGAGCCUGGUUGGUCUACAGUGGAAGGGGAGCUCAGCUGUUGCUGACGUGGAAACAGCGUGGAUUAUUUGGACGCAGAAACUCACAAAAUCCUUGUGCUCCUAUAAUGUCGUUCUAAUCUGGAGACGGAGGCUGCACUGUAAUAAAAUCACAGAAAGAAAUUCUACUCCAAAGACAGAGACGUGCAGUAAAAGAGAGUAUUUUGUUAAUGGCACAUCUGAGAUGAUCAAAGUAGAGGCACUCACAGGUGGACACAAAGGUAUUCCCCUCCUUUUGAUUGCUC
rnacentral:lncRNA from 1 species